UACGAAGGGGGGCUAGCGUUGCUCGGAUUGACUGGGCGUAAAGGGCGCGUAGGCGGUUCGUACAGUCAGACGUGAAAUUCCUGGGCUCAACCUGGGGGGCUGCGUUUGAUACGUGCGGACUUGAGUGCGGAAGAGGGUCGUGGAAUUCCCAGUGUAGAGGUGAAAUUCGUAGAUAUUGGGAAGAACACCGGUGGCGAAGGCGGCGACCUGGUCCGAUACUGACGCUGAGGCGCGAAAGCGUGGGGAGCGAACAGG
rnacentral:rRNA from 1 species